UACGUAGGGGGCUAGCGUUGUCCGGAAUCAUUGGGCGUAAAGCGCGUGUAGGCGGUCCGGUAAGUCCGCUGUGAAAGUCGGGGGCUCAACCCUCGAAUGCCGGUGGAUACUGUCGGGCUAGAGUGCGGAAGAGGCGAGUGGAAUUCCUGGUGUAGCGGUGAAAUGCGCAGAUAUCAGGAGGAACACCAAUUGCGAAGGCAGCUCGCUGGGACGUUACUGACGCUGAGACACGAAAGCGUGGGGAGCAAACGGG
rnacentral:rRNA from 1 species